UGGCCAGGCCUAAGAGCACCUGCUAGGUUUGCCGGAAGGAAGGCGACGGCCUGCUCCUCAGCUUCCGGGCUGAUGCUGGGGUGUUAGUCAAAAGAAUAUCAAAGAAUGAAGACACUGGACUGAUGAUCUCUAUCACGUGGCCAUUCUGAUGCAGGGAGAAGAGUGGCCUGAGAGUGUGGGAAGCCAUGGCUGAGAGCGUCCAUCAGUCCAGGAGGCUGGGCUCCCUCUCUGUGUCACAUCACUGCCUUUCUUCCGCUGACCCCAGGUCAAAACGCUCUAAUUUCUCGGCCUUGACUCUAGCCGUCCUGCUGGUCUCUUCCCCAGUCUCCAAUUCUUGCCCCAGAACACCUGGCCUGUUUAUAUGCAGCUCAUCC